CCAUAGAUACAACAAAACACCGGAAUUUUUUGUUUUAUUAGUUAUAAUCAAAAUGAUUUGUAUUAUAUUUAUUUACUGAAAAUGUGUAAUUAGUAGGCUUGGUUAUCGAGGAUCGAUUGGGAUCGGGACUAGCUUUGCAAUUUACCCGGAAUUGUUCAAAAGUUUAAAAUUCGAUUCCUAGUUUCGAUUCUCAGUCCGCCGGCGCCGACCGGAAAAAUAAACCGCUGAACACCAACGAAGAAGUGUCCACCGGAAGUGUUGGCAUAACACCGCGAUCGAACAAGGACAGCGUGCGUCGGCGGUCCAAAGUGUGGUUACACUUUUCGAAACAAACCGAAAGCUCAGCAAAAUGCAACAUUUGCAGCAAAAUUGUUUCAUGCAUAAGAGGGUGCACGUCAAAUAUGAUUAAGCACCUCCGAGGUCAUGGAGUGGAAGUAAAUGUGUGCCCCGUGUUUGACGCCCUGCGCCGACCGUCCUCCGCUGCCUCUUCCUCUGGCUCCAAGGGUUUAGCCCGUCAGUGGGAGCAAGAAACGUACUGAUGGCGAUCCAGAGACGGACACGGGAGUCUGUCUGAGAGACACAACCAGCAAUAGAAGAAUAAAAGUAUUCAGAGCAAACCUGCCGUGUCCUAUUCCAGACCCCCAAGAGUACCUGCGUGUUACAGUGGCGCUCAACGUGGGGCUGGAUAGGCCGUUCGCCUACGGGGAGCGGCUGAAGGACGCAAGGCCGAAAUGAAAACCUGCUUACAAGCACUGAUAAAAUAAACGGAUUCCGUUUAAAGAUGCAGCUCUGGCAACAACAUGUGCAGCGUGGCAACCUUGAGAUGUUCCUGCCCACCGAGAAACGUCAUGAUGACAACACUGCUGCAAUGUGCGAGGUGACCUACUACCUAAGGACGGAAUCCUCAUUCAAAGCAACGACCUGAGUAUUGAUGAGAGUCCGAUGACCGGAGAGUCGGAUCACGUCAAGAAGACUGUCAACAAGGACGUUGUAAUGGCAAAAAAUAUAUGUAACUCUUCUAAAUGCUUCAUUUGUAUGAGGGGCCGUUUAGGACUUAACUACUGAGACACUCUCACACACACUACUGAGACACUCAACACUCACACACACUACUGAGACACUGUCACACACACUACUGAGACACUCAACACUCACACACACUACUGAGACACUCUCACACACACACUACUGAGACACUCUCACACACACACUACUGAGACACUCAACACUCACACACACUACUGAGACACUCAACACUCACACACACUACUGAGACACUGUCACACACACUACUGAGACACUCAACACUCACACACACUACUGAGACACUCUCACACACACUACUGAGACACUCUCACACACACUACUGAGACACUCUCACACACGCUAUUGAGACACUCAUGCCAUCUCACUAUACAACGUGAGAGCGCCUCACUAUACAAUGUGAGAGCAUCUCAGUUACACUGGAAGGCAUCUCCGUUACUCCGGAAGGAAGUGAAAAAGCGAAAAAGUAGUGGAAAAUCUUAGCUAAGAGCGGGUAAGAGCGAGCAUUUGAGGGUUAUUUCAAUCAAUAAUUUUCCUGAUUGAAUAUGAAGUUGCAAUUCCUAUAUAUUUUGAUCAGUCUGCAAGCCCUCUUUGUAAUUGGCAAUCGCGAUGACAUCGUAGAUUCUUUCAAUAGGGUGCUGCGCUGCGUUGAAUGCCUACGGCAGGGCUAUUCAAUUAAUUUGGAAUUGGGGCCGGUUCAUGAAACCGAGGCAAAACAAGGGGCCGGAGAAUAUGAGUAAUUAUAGCAACAAAUAAAGAAAUUAAAACAACAUGCUGAAGGAGUCAAUAUAUUAUAUUUUUUAAAUGCAACAUAUGCACAUUGUGAUGCACUAAGACACGUAGGCCUAAGGCAUUGUUACAUUCAAAUGGCAAUACAACGUUGAAAAAUCAAAGACACAGACAAUUAGGGAAAUGCAAUUAACAGAAAACAUCCACUUAAACUGCACAUAACUGUACCAACUACAGCUCGUUAUCCUCAAUUAACAAUGAGAUACAUUUCAGUGUUACAAGAGGGAAAUAAUUCUCAGAAACAUCAAACUGCCCCCCUUCUCAACUGGCUAAAUACAGAAAUGCAGCUAAAUGGUAACUGAGUACAACUCACACUUUUUUCCUUCUCAAAAAUAAAAUAGACGUCCCUAUAAAAUAAAUCCUCACGUGGACUACGGCUUCACUCACUUUUGUCCAGUCUGAACAUAAAUCAGACACCUUGACAGUCUAGGUCGGCCAUAUCACAGAUAUUUCAAAUUGCACUCAUUUGACAGACAACAUCAAUGUAUCUCCACCAACGAAAAUAAAACCAUAGUGUAGCACAGAAUAGAAUAAAAACAACAGUGCACUUUAGCAAAG